UACGUAGGGGGCAAGCGUUGUCCGGAAUCAUUGGGCGUAAAGCGCGCGUAGGCGGCCCGAUAAGUCUGCUGUGAAAGUCCAGGGCUCAACCCUGGAAUGCCGGUGGAUACUGUCGGGCUAGAGUUCGGAAGGGAGCAAGUGGAAUUCCUGGUGUAGCGGUGGAAUGCGCAGAUAUCAGGAGGAACACCUAUAGCGAAGGCAGCUUGCUGGGACGACACUGACGCUAAGGCGCGAAAGCGUGGGGAGCGAACAGG
rnacentral:rRNA from 1 species